UUUGACCUUCGACUCAAAACGUGCUAUUUUAAGUUCAACCCGUUCGUCUUUUGUUUAGUGUGCUUCCCCGAUGAGAUGGGUCAUUGCUUGAAUAAAUAAAUGGUCAGCACCGAGAGGAACCUGCGAACGGUAUACUGUUUCCCCUCGGCUUAACGACUGCAGAGGCCAGGAGGAAAGUGAGAGGGAAGAAUUGGGAGAGGAGUGUGGGGGAAGGAAGAGGAAGUACUAGGAUGGGCGUAGAGGAAAACAAGGUGAAAUGUUCUAUGAGUCCUGUCCUGUCAGACCCCCCAUGUGAACUUGCAACCAUGGGGGUGUAGGCAUCACAUUUUGUGUGCCUAGGGCCGCGACAAAUGUCCCUCCAUGCAUGGGCGUGCAUUCCGUAUGAAGACCGAGCGCACAAGAAUUGCCUCGGGGGGGACUAAGUACUUAUUAGGUAA